UACGUAGGGGGCAAGCGUUGUCCGGAAUUAUUGGGCGUAAAGAGCGCGUAGGCGGUCCGAUAAGUCGGCUGUGAAAGUCCAGGGCUCAACCCUGGAAAGCCGGCCGAUACUGUCGGACUAGAGUCCGGAAGAGGCAAGUGGAAUUCCCGGUGUAGCGGUGAAAUGCGCAGAUAUCAGGAGGAACACCGGUGGCGAAGGCGGGUCUCUGGGCCGAUACUGACGCUGAGGAGCGAAAGCAUGGGUAGCGAACAGG
rnacentral:rRNA from 1 species